rnacentral:tRNA from 1 species
GCCCCUAUAGCUCAGCUGGUAGAGCAGCGGUUUUGUAAACCGAAGGUCGCGGGUUCAAAUCCUGCUGGGGGCACCA